rnacentral:lncRNA from 1 species
AUAUUUCUAUUUUCUAGUGUUUCUAUUCUAAACCACGAAUUUCUUCUCAUUUGAAGGGUUUUGGGUACAGUCUUUUUAUUCUUCUUCUUUCCACAAGUGUACUAAACUUCCUAGCCAUUUAUCCAUACCUGCCUUCUUGGUAAUAGCUUAAAGUGCAAGUGCUAAUAAUGUCAUGAUCCUCCUACCAAGCAUAAUCAUGUUUCUUGCCAGCCCACCUCUUUUAGCCCCAUCACUAUUAUAUAACAAGCAGAUGCACCCAGAAUUUGUUUAGGAUUUGAAAAUUUGAAGUGUCCUUAGUAUACCAAUCUCCUGUUCAUAGAAAAAUUUGCUGCCUCAGCAUGUUUGUGUAGUACUUAUCCAUGUCCCAUAUCAUGUGCAUGCAACAUGGAAUGUCAUGUUUUGGUACCAAGAAACCAAGAAACCAAGAAACCAAGAAACCAAGAAACCAAGAUAAAAAUUCCAUGGGUCAAGUAAAAAUUAUGAAU